rnacentral:rRNA from 1 species
UACGGGGGGAGCAAGCGUUUGUUCGGAUUUACUGGGCGUAAAGGGCGGGUAGGCGGCCACCGCAAGUCAGUUGUGAAAUCUCUGGGCUUAACCCAGAAAGGUCAACUGAUACUGCGGGGCUAGAGUGCAGAAGGGGCAACUGGAAUUCUCGGUGUAGCGGUGAAAUGCGUAGAUAUCGCUUGGAACGCCGAAGGUGAAAACAGGCUGCUGGGGUUGCGCCGACGCUGAGACACGAAAGCCAGGGGAGCAAACGGG